GACGAACCGUGCGAACGUUGUUCGGAAUCACUGGGCUUAAAGGGCGCGUAGGCGGGCGGUCAAGUCUGUGGUGAAAUCCUUCGGCUCAACCGGAGAAUAGCUGGAGAUACUGGCCGUCUCGAGGGGGGUAGGGGCAUGUGGAACUUCCGGUGGAGCGGUGAAAUGCGUAGAUAUUGGAAAGAACACCGAUGGCGAAGGCACUCUACUGGGCUAUUACUGACACUCAGAGACGAAAGCUAGGGGAGCAAAUGGG
rnacentral:rRNA from 1 species